rnacentral:rRNA from 1 species
CCUACGGGUGGCUGCAGUGGGGAAUAUUGGACAAUGGGCGAAAGCCUGAUCCAGCCAUGCCGCGUGUGUGAAGAAGGCCUUCGGGUUGUAAAGCACUUUCAGUGGGGAAGAAAGCCUUGGGGCUAAUACCCUCGAGGAAGUACAUCACCCACAGAAGAAGCACCGGCUAACUCCGUGCCAGCAGCCGCGGUAAUACGGAGGGUGCGAGCGUUAAUCGGAAUUACUUGGCGUAAAGCGCGCGUAGGCGGUCUGAUAAGCCGGUUGUGAAAGCCCCGGGCUCAACCUGGGAACGGCAUCCGGAACUGUCAGGCUAGAGUGCAGGAGAGGAAGGUAGAAUUCCCGGUGUAGCGGUGAAAUGCGUAGAGAUCGGGAGGAAUACCAGUGGCGAAGGCGGCCUUCUGGACUGACACUGACGCUGAGGUGCGAAAGCGUGGGUAGCAAACAGGAUUAGAUACCCUUGUAGUC